rnacentral:rRNA from 1 species
GAAUGAAAAAAUUUUAACUAUCCUUUCUUUCUAUAUGUAUUUAACAGAUAUAGAAAGAAAGAAAAAUGACAUUUAUAUGGUAUAUAAGCUAUUGUCCUUAAAGUUCUUUAUGUUUUAAAGUAAAAAGUUAUUUCUAUAGAAGAUAGAUUUUUUAUAUUUUGGAAUACAAAAAUAGAUUUUAGUUUAAGUUUGGCCAAACUUGUGCCAGCCGCCGCGGUUAUACAAGUAAGCUAAAAUUGUUUGAAUUAUAAGAAAAAAAGUUGUUUUUUGACACUUUUAUUGAAAAGGUGAAAUUUUUUAAUAAAUUUUACUUUUUUGUUUUCUAAAAAUUUUUUAUAUAAACUAGGAUUAGAUACCCUAUUAUAAUAAAAUGUAUAAUGUUGUUUGUAAAUAAAGUUUAUGAAAUCAAAAGAUAGUGGCGGUAUUUUAAGCCUGUUAGAGGAAUUUGCUCUGUAAUUGAUAAAACACCAAAAUCUCACUUAAGUUUGUAAAAACAGUUUGUAUAUCGCCAUUCUUAAGUUAUAUUUAACGAUUAAUAACUGAGAUAAAGUUUUUUUUAAAAUAUUAGGUCAAGAUGCAGUUAAUGCUUAAGGUUGAAGUGAGUUAUGAUAAUAUUUAUUAGGUAAAAUGAAAAAAUUUAUAGGAUUUAAAAGUAAAAAAAAAUUAUAAUGUUUUUUUGAAGAAGGCUCUAAAAUAUGUACAUAUCGCCCGUCACUCUCAAUAUUUAUUGGGAUAAGUCGUAACAUAGUAAGUGUACCGGAAGGUGCACUU